rnacentral:lncRNA from 1 species
UUAGGUCACUGCAUGCUACAAUGCACUUUGUGGUCACAUACCCAGAAAACAUUUUCACAACAGGAGCCUAUGAGGUUGGUCCUAUUUUUACUCUCACUUAUCCCUACUUACCAGAUGAGGAUCCUGAGGCUCAGAAAAACUCUUGACAAAAUUCUCAGGGAAAACUCUUCAGCUCUGGAUGUCUCCCUUUUUGUGGAUCAAACACAAAGGGCAUCAUUCUAAAAUAUAUACAGAACCAUAAAAGCCCCAAAUAGCCAAAGCAACCCUGAGCAAAAAGAACAAGGCUGGAAGCAUCACACUACCAGACUUCAAAAUUUACUACAAAGCUCUAAUACCUAAAAUAACAUGGUACUGGCAUUAAAAAAAAAAAAAAAAUAGGCACAUAGACCACCAAUGAAACAGUAUAGAGAAUCUAGAUAUACCAACUCAUCUUUAACAAAGGUGC